CCUACGGGUGGCAGCAGUGAGGAAUAUUGGUCAAUGGACGCAAGUCUGAACCAGCCAUGCCGCGUGCAGGAAGACGGCUCUAUGAGUUGUAAACUGCUUUUGUACGAGGGUAAACGCAGAUACGCGUACCUGUCUGAAAGUCUCGUACGAAUAAGGAUCGGCUAACUCCGUGCCAGCAGCCGCGGUAAUACGGAGGAUUCAAGCGUUAUCCGGAUUUAUUGGGUUUAAAGGGUGCGUAGGCGGUCGGAUAAGUUAGAGGUGAAAGCCCGAGGCUCAACUUAGGAAUUGCCUCUGAUACUGUUCGGCUAGAGAGUAGUUGCGGUAGGCGGAAGGUAUGGUGUAGCGGUGAAAUGCUUAGAGAUCAUACAGAACACCGAUUGCGAAGGCAGCUUACCAAGCUACUUCUGACGUUGAGGCACGAAAGCGUGGGGAGCAAACAGGAUUAGAUACCCUAGUAGUC
rnacentral:rRNA from 1 species